rnacentral:rRNA from 1 species
GAGUAACGCGUGAGUAACCUGCCUUCAAGAGGGGGAUAACAUUCUGAAAAGAAUGCUAAUACCGCAUGACAUAUCGGAACCACAUGGUUUUGAUAUCAAAGAUCUUAUCGCUUGAAGAUGGACUCGCGUCCGAUUAGUUAGUUGGUGAGGUAACGGCUCACCAAGACCGCGAUCGGUAGCCGGACUGAGAGGUUGAACGGCCACAUUGGGACUGAGACACGGCCCAGACUCCUACGGGAGGCAGCAUG